rnacentral:tRNA from 1 species
GCCAUCAGAGUUCGACGGGUAGAACGCCUCCUUCGUAACGAGGUGGACGAGGUUCGAGUCCUCGUGAUGGCC